GUCUACUCAGCAGUGAAGACAGACAGACAGAGAUACAGGUAGAGCUGUAUCUGGACCCAGGGACGUAAUGUACAGACUGAGUGACCCUGUUCAUCAGAACGUCAUGGUGGGUGGAAAAAGAUGCUCUCUUCAGCUGCGGUGAAUAACCACAACCCUGUCAGUCCAUCUCUUUACUUCUCUUUUCACUUCUCUUCUCUCUCCCUCCUUCCCUUUUCACACCAACGCACUUAUCUUUAGACGCUUCAGCCUUGACCGCCAUAAACAGCCUCAGCAACAAAGAGGUGUGACAUUUCCAAAACUGAGUUGACAGAGUCAACAACAAGAGUAAGUUUAUCAUGAGGACAUACAGACACCACUGACUGGAACUAUCAACAACAAGAGUUAGUUUAUCAUGAGAACAUACAGACACCAUUGACUGGAACUAUCAACAACAAGAGUUAGUUUAUCAUGAGAACCUAGAACCAGCUGACAGUAUCAGUAUUACUACUAACAGAAGGAACGUUGUAGUGUUAUGUCCAUGAUGAAUGUUGUAACGGCUUCAAUGUGUUUUAUAUUCUAAUUGUUUAUGUAAAAUUGGAAAUUGUAUUUUUUUAUUUUGUGUGUUUAGCUUGAGCAACACCAGUGAAUGGGUGCCAACUUGCCAAAUAAAGCUUCCUCGACCUAGUG